rnacentral:rRNA from 1 species
CGGAUCGGAGUCUGNAACCCGACUCCGUGAAGCUGGAUUCGCUAGUAAUCGCGCAUCAGCCAUGGCGCGGUGAAUACGUUCCCGGGUCUUGUACACACCGCCCGUCACACCAUGGGAGUCGGAAAUGCCCGAAGUCAGUGACCUAACCGAAAGGGAGGAGCUGCCGAAGGUGGAGCCGGUAACUGGGGUGAAGUCGUAACAAGGUACC